UGGGUAACCUGCCUCAAAGAGGGGAAUAGCCUCCCGAAAGGGAGAUUAAUACCGCAUAAUAUAUUUAAGUCGCAUGACUUUAACAUCAAAGGAUUUUUCUUUUAGAAAUUCCACUUUGAGAUGGACCCGCGGCGCAUUAGCUAGUUGGUGAGGUAACGGCUCACCAAGGCAACGAUGCGUAGCCGACCUGAGGG
rnacentral:rRNA from 1 species